rnacentral:rRNA from 1 species
AGCGAACGCUGGCGGCAGGCCUAACACAUGCAAGUCGAACGAACCCUUCGGGGUUAGUGGCGGACGGGUGAGUAACACGUGGGUACGUGCCGUGAGGUUCGGAAUAACUCAGGGAAACUUGUGCUAAUACCGACUGUGCCCUUCGGGGGAAAGAUUUAUCGCCUUUAGAGCGGCCCGCGUCUGAUUAGCUAGUUGGUGAGGUAAUGGCUCACCAAGGCUACGAUCAGUAGCUGGUCUGAGAGGAUGACCAGCCACAUUGAGACUGACACACGGCCCAGACUCCUACGGGAGGCAGCAGUGGGGAAUCUUGCGCAAUGGGCGAAAGCCUGAUCCAGCCAUGCCGCGUGUGUGAAGAAGGUCUUCGGAUUGUAAAAUCCUUUCACCGGUGAAGAUAAUGACUGUAACCGGAGAAGAAGCCCCGGCUAACUUCGUGCCAGCCGCCGCGGUAAAAC